rnacentral:rRNA from 1 species
GACGAACCGUGCGAACGUUAUUCGGAAUCACUGGGCUUAAAGCGCGUGUAGGCGGGACGGCACGUCGGUCGCUGAAAUCCCCCGGCUUAACCGGGGAACGGGCGCCGAUACGACCGGCCUGGAGGGACGUAGGGGGACCUGGAACUUCCGGUGGGGCGGUGAAAUGCGUUGAGAUCGGAAGGAACGCCCGUGGCGAAAGCGAGGUCCUGGACGUUUUCUGACGCUGAGACGCGAAAGCCAGGGGAGCGAACGGG